GUUCCGGUGGUGUAAGGCGAACAUCGCUGCCCGGAAAGCAGAAGGUGCAGGUUCGAGUCCCGCCUGGCGCA
rnacentral:tRNA from 1 species